AGAGAUUUAAACUCCACCCCACAGGAAAAGAACAAGUUCUUAUUGUGGUAAACAUGCAGACGUGACAACCUACCAACUUUCCGCAGUAAAAUUUAACCCCAUUUUAACUAGUUUUUAAUUUUACUUUAGACUCUUACUGUUUGAUGAAGACUAUUGAUGUUGUUAGCCAAAACACCUGGUACAUAUUUGUACAAAAAAAAAUAAUAAUAAAAAAAGGCCCACUAGGCUAUCUUUUUUUAUUAUUAUUAUUUUUUUUUAUAUAACUUUUAUCUUACAUUUCACUUGACUCUGAGAUUCAACUACAAACAAUAAGAAGGGAAUACAUUGAAAGGAAAGGAAAAGGCAGCAGGACUACGUCUCUGGACUGUUUUUAUAUUCUAUUUAUAAUUAAGGUAAGACGCAGAGCUCAUGUUUAUGUUUCCACACUGUUUCAAUGUCUUCAGUUUUGUUGCGAUUUCCUCAUUUUAAAUUGAAUAAUAAAUUAUAUUAUGGCUUUUAGAACUUAUAAAUAAAUAAAUCUUUAUAAAUACUAGGGGAUAUGUGAUAUUUUGGAAUAGUGUGUAUUCUUAUAAUAAUCUGUGCCCAUAUACUGUGUGUGACUUAAAUAAAGUUAGUGGUCAGCGAUUGUUACAGGAAGCUGCAGGAAGUGAUCUGACUUUGGGUAUGCCUUUUACUAUAGCUGCAUAAAGACCAAAACAUAUGUAAUGCAUACAUAUAAGGACUAAUUAGGAAUUUUAAGUAGUUUUUGUGUUUGUAUUUCAACAUAUGUUUUCAUUUGAUACCAUGGAGAUUUGCUAAAGAUUUUUAUGUUUUUAUUAUUAAUUGACAGUGUUUUAAUUAGUUUAUAUAAAAUGUUAGGAAAUGCCAGCAAGGCUCAAUUGUCCUGGACAGAGAAGCUUAAUUCCUUACAUACAUUACAUUUCCACUAUCUCAUUAAUCUGAAGUGACAGAAAAACAUGAAGAUUGUUCUGAAAUUACUGCAUAAAUGAUAGCUGGUGCAAUUUACAUGUAAAAAGGAACUGAUACCUGUGUUGAAAACGUUUCAACUCCUGCAAAGCACUGACACUGAAGAUUGGUAAACAAACAUCUUUGAACAGAAAACCUUACUUUACCAACUAUUCAAUGCGCUUUUAUGGAAAUAACACCCUUUUAUUCCCCUUUAUUAUGGGUUUUAUAUUAUGUAGACCAGGGGUCCCCAAACACCAGGCUGCAGAUCAGUACCAGGCUGUGGAUCAUUUGGUAUCAGGAAGUGUGAAAGAAUAAAAACUUCCUCUUAUUUAAAAUAAAAUAAAAAGCCUCUUAUUUCCAUUUUAUUUACUUUUACAGUCUGCAGGGUGUUUUGUUUUUGAAACACUUCUGCCUAUGUCAAUGUCCGGCACUCUUUCUAAUUUUUAGCUGCAGUUUUUUUCUAUGCAUCUAUGCCUCAGACUGAUUCUGCAUUAUUUUAUUCAGUAAAAAUAUGGGAAGUCAAGCAGCCAAGCCAGAUGAUCAGCAAUCCUUGUUAGAUGAUACUGAUGAAGUAACUCUUAUUGAGAAGAUCUCAGUUGUGAUUAUGGGACAUCAUGGAGUUGGGAAGAAUAAAGUAGGGAAUGCUCUUCUUAAGAAGAAAGCCUUCACAUUCACGGAUAGAUCUAAAACAUAUUACUUAAAGGAGGAAUACACAACAAACAACAGAC